UGCUGUGUUGUGUUAGUUUGUGUUGUGUUGUGUUAGUUUGUGUUGUGUUGUGUUAGUUUGUGUUGUGUUAGUUUGUGUUGUGUUAGUUUGUUUUGUGCUGUGUUAGUUUGUGCUGUGUUAGUUUGUGUUGUGCUGUGUUAGUUUGUGUUGUGUUAGUUUGUGUUGUGUUAGUUUGUGCUGUGUUAGUUUGUGUUGUGUUAGUUUGUGCUGUGUUAGUUUGUGUUGUGUUGUGUUAGUUUGUGUUGUGUUAGUUUGAGUUGUGUUAGUUUGUGCUGUGUUAGUUUGUGUUGUGUUGUGUUGUGUUAGUUUGUGUUGUGUUGUGUUAGUUUGUGUUGUGUUAGUUUGUGUUGUGUUAGUUUGUGUUGUGUUAGUUUGUUUUGUGUUGUGUUAGUUUGUGUUGUGUUGUGUUAGUUUGUGUUGUGUUGUGUUAGUUUGUGUUGUGUUAGUUUGUGUUGUGUUGUGUUAGUUUGUGUUGUGUUAGUUUGUGCUGUGUUAGUUUGUGCUGUGUUAGUUUGUGCUGUGUUAGUUUGUGUUGUGUUGUGUUAGUUUGUGUUGUGUUAGUUUGUGUUGUGUUAGUUUGUGUUGUGUUAGUUUGUGCUGUGUUAGUUUGUGUUGUGUUGUGUUAGUUUGUGCUGUGUUAGUUUGUGUUGUGUUAGUUUGUGUUGUGUUAGUUUGUGCUGUGUUAGUUUGUGCUGUGUUAGUUUGUGUUGUGUUAGGUUG
rnacentral:lncRNA from 1 species